GCCAGGUGUGGUGGUGCACACCUGUAAUCCCAGCCGCUCGGGAGGCUGAGGCAGGUGGAUUGUGAGUUCAAAGCCAGCCUCAGCAACAAUGAGGCUCUAAGCAACUCAGUAAGAUCCUGUCUCUA
rnacentral:sRNA from 1 species